UUCUUUGUUUCUUUUUCUCUGUUUCUGAUUCCAAGAAACUUGUAACUGUCUCGGCACUCAACUAUUAGCAGUUCGAUCAAUGGACUGGGGUCUAUAGCAAAUAGAAAAGAACCAAGAAGAUGAAAGGGGAGUCAUCUGGGUUGAUCAUUGGAAUCUCAAUAGGGGUGGUGAUUGGAGUGCUUCUAGCUGUUUUGUCACUCUUCUGUUUUAGGUGUCAUAGGAAACGCUCGCAGAUAGGUAAUAGUAGUUCGAGGAGGGCCGCCACCAUCCCUAUCCGGGCAAACGGUGCUGAUUCGUGUACUAUAUUAU
rnacentral:misc_RNA from 1 species